ACCAUAUUUGCAUAACAGAAAUGGAUCAUUCAUUCAAGAACAUAAAUUUACAUUGUUUUUCAGCCAUUCUAGUCACACAAAAAUAAAGUUUCCAUUUAUGGUUAUAUGCUAAUCAUAUUUUGUUGCAGAAAUAAAGAGUCCCAGUUGAAGAGAUGCUUCAUCUGAAUUCUUCCUAAAAUGUUCUUCUCCUUUGUCAGAAGAAGUUGCCAUUCUUCUGACCUUAUCAAAGCGAAUUAUAAAUAAUGGAAUUUGUUUUCUUUUCAAAAGAAUUGUCGGGCUUUCAACGUGCCCGCUAUAAAUGAAGCAGACAAUACCAGGCAAAAAUAGUGGAACUGACACAUGCAAACAACUGUGUGGACCAAAAGGAGUCUGAAGAAACAGAGGUCCAAUGGAAGGACUAAAACAGGGACUCAUCCAAAAGGAAGAGUGAGACACCUUAUGUGGAGAAGAGCUUGAUAUUGUCCUUCUACCAGAACAUCUCCCAGAUUCAAGGAACUCCCUUUAGCCUUUCUCCAGUGGUGAGGAAAGUCUUCCUAUCCCCUCAUUUCUGAAGGACAUCUUUGCAAGGGCUGAUCAUAUUUCAGGACAUAAUUGGACACGACGGUAGAAGAGUACAAGAGUGGAACUGAGUAAGAGUUGAGAUCCAGAACUCAGUACAUGCUCGGAUGGAGGUGAAGAAUAUUGAGCUUUAUUACAGAUUUAUCCACAUGUGCUUCCAAAGAGAAAGAAACACUGGCACUAAAGCACAGCCACUUGGAAAGUUAUUAUGGCUUUGGUUGCUAAGACAGAAAUAGAGCCUUUGGAGAAAUGAUUGGUUCAAAUCAUUGGGAAUGUAAUUUUCAUCAUUGCAUUCACUAAAAGGCUCACUUAGAGAAAAUGGCCUCCCAGUUUCCAAAAAUACAGUUUCCUUAAAAUGGGAAUAUCUCAGAUCUGAUCUUUGUGGGUAUUAAACCAAUUUACUUAUAAGCAAAAGUUAUACCUUUUGCCCUAAACAAAUUUAAUUCACAGAUUGAGUUAUUUAGCUGAGAUAUACUCCUAUUAGUUUCAUUAAUCUUAUUGACAAUUACACUGUCACCUUAGUUCAUUAGAAAAGUUUAUAGACCUCAAAGGUCUAGGGGUGCCUGGGUGGCUCAGUCGGUUGAGCAUCCGACUUCAGCUCAGGUCAUGAUCUCAUACUCCGUAAGUUCG